ACAUGCGGCCAUACCGGCUUGUCAAAGCCAGAUCUCUUCAGGUCUCAGAAGCUAAGCAAGGCUGGGCCUGGUUAGUACUUGGAUGGGAAACCGCUGGAAAUACCAUGUGCCACAGUG
rnacentral:rRNA from 1 species